UGACGUCAAAUCAGCACGGCCCUUACGUCCAGGGCUACACACGUGUUACAAUGGCCAGUACAGAGGGCAGCCACCCCGCGAGGGGGCGCUAAUCCUAAAAGCUGGUCCCAGUUCGGAUCGGAGUCUGCAACCCGACUCCGUGAAGCUGGAUUCGCUAGUAAUCGCGCAUCAGCCACGGCGCGGUGAAUACGUUCCCGGGCCUU
rnacentral:rRNA from 1 species